CAUCACUCAGUCCCUACCUCCAGCAGUGCAAGAGUGUUUUCUUUCCCAGCUGGAGGUCUUGCCAUUUGUUCUUACUGAAUUUUAUGAAGUUUCUGUCAGCCCUUUCCUCCAGCCUGCUGAGUUCUUUAUUGCAAGAGGAAGAUGUUAAACAGGAUGACCCCAGGACAGACCCCUGCUAUUCACCCAGCUAAGCCACCCACUUGGCCAGGUUCUCAUCAUUCGGUACCUGUCUGCUAAAUGAAGGAAAGAGAUACUUCACAGUUUCUUUGGAAGUCCUCUUCUCACUGGACUGCAGCCUUUGAAAGUGUAAUUCACUAAAUGUGAGGGACAAUGAAGUGAGAAUCACUGACUGGCAUCCAGACAAGGUGGCUCUUGCUUCACAGAAAGUGCACAAACAGAAAUUAAUGUCUUUCAGGUCUCAUAUCAAGAAUGCCAUAGGAAUGCUAAACAGCAGAAACUUUUGGGUUGUGUUUGCUAAAUAACCUGACAUGCCUAAAGCAGCCUCACAGUGUUUUUUUCUCUUUAACCAGUGCUUUACUGAAAUUGUCCUUUGGUUUCAGCUUUAGUACUGCCAGCUUGUCUCUUCUGUCUAAACAUCAGAUUCUGGCUGCUUUAGUUCAUCUGUGCAAUGCUGCAGCAACUUUGAUUCCAUGUUCUCAACCACAGGCUGCAAUCUCAAAUGGUCCCUUCAGUAUCCAACCUGAAGGAGCAUACAGAGAAACAGGUAUAAUAACCAGUGGUAUUACCUUUAAAAAUAUUUUCUGAAAAUGCUCUUUCUCUCAUAUUUUUGGAAUUUGCAUGGCUUCUUUAGAUCAUAUUGUGUGAUCUGUUUCUUCCCCUCCCAGUUCUUUCUUUCCUGCUUAGAAACAUGGAGGAAAAGGUAUCCUUAUGCACUUUUCUAUUGCUGGACUUGUUUACAUCUCUUUCUGUACAGAGAAAGAAGAAAGACAAAGCAACAGGGACUUGUAAGGACAAAUCCUGUAUUGACGGGUUUGUAAGAGCAAAUCUGAUGAAACUCCUUAGUGAGCUCCAACUGUGGAGAAACUGCAAAAAUCCAAUAGUUGCAGUGUCAGGAAGCCUUGCUGUGUCAAUUCCAGUCUGUCAAGCUGGAAUUCUCUCUGAUGCAAAUUGCCUUCAUGUAUUGUUAGCACCCCUUUAAUUCAAAAUACAGGAUUAGGUAGAGUUCCACAAGACAUGCCAGUCUUCAGUGGCUGAGUGUUAUUUAGGUAGAUAUAUGUAUAACCUUUUAGGAA